UACAGAGACUGCGAGCGUUAUUCGGAUUCACUGGGCGUAAAGGGUGCGUAGGUGGCGAGGUUAGUCAGGUGUGAAAUCUCGGGGCUCAACCCCGAAACUGCACUUGAUACUGCCUUGCUAGAGUACUGGAGAGGAGAUUGGAAUUUACGGUGUAGCAGUGAAAUGCAUAGAUAUCGUAAGGAAGACCAGUGGCGAAGGCGGGUCUCUGGACAGUUCCUGACGCUGAGGCACGAAGGCCAGGGGAGCAAACGGG
rnacentral:rRNA from 1 species